GUGGGGAAUAUUGGACAAUGGGCGAAAGCCUGAUCCAGCCAUGCCGCGUGUGUGAAGAAGGUCUUCGGAUUGUAAAGCACUUUAAGUUGGGAGGAAGGGCAGUAAGUUAAUACCUUGCUGUUUUGACGUUACCGACAGAAUAAGCACCGGCUAACUUCGUGCCAGCAGCCGCGGUAAUACGAAGGGUGCAAGCGUUAAUCGGAAUUACUGGGCGUAAAGCGCGCGUAGGUGGUUUUGUAAGUUGUAGGUGAAAUCCCCGGGCUCAACCUGGGAACUGCCUCCAAAACUGCAUGACUAGAGUACGGUAGAGGGUAGUGGAAUUUCCUGUGUAGCGGUGAAAUGCGUAGAUAUAGGAAGGAACACCAGUGGCGAAGGCGACUACCUGGACUGAUACUGACACUGAGGUGCGAAAGCGUGGGGAGCAAACAGGAUUAGAAACCCGUGUAGUCC
rnacentral:rRNA from 1 species